GACGAACGCUGGCGGCGUGCUUAACACAUGCAAGUCGAACGGAAAGGCCCUGCUUUUGUGGGGUGCUCGAGUGGCGAACGGGUGAGUAACACGUGAGUAACCUGCCCUUGACUUUGGGAUAACUUCAGGAAACUGGGGCUAAUACCGGAUAGGAGCUCCUGCUGCAUGGUGGGGGUUGGAAAGUUUCGGCGGUUGGGGAUGGACUCGCGGCUUAUCAGCUUGUUGGUGGGGUAGUGGCUUACCAAGGCUUUGACGGGUAGCCGGCCUGAGAGGGUGACCGGCCACAUUGGGACUGAGAUACGGCCCAGACUCCUACGGGAGGCAGCAGUGGGGAAUAUUGCACAAUGGGCGGAAGCCUGAUGCAGCAACGCCGCGUGCGGGAUGACGGCCUUCGGGUUGUAAACCGCUUUCGCCUGUGACGAAGCGUAAGUGACGGUAAUGGGUAAAGAAGCACCGGCUAACUACGUGCCAGCAGCCGCGGUGAUACGUAGGGUGCGAGCGUUGUCCGGAUUUAUUGGGCGUAAAGGGCUCGUAGGUGGUUGAUCGCGUCGGAAGUGUAAUCUUGGGGCUUAACCCUGAGCGUGCUUUCGAUACGGGUUGACUUGAGGAAGGUAGGGGAGAAUGGAAUUCCUGGUGGAGCGGUGGAAUGCGCAGAUAUCAGGAGGAACACCAGUGGCGAAGGCGGUUCUCUGGGCCUUUCCUGACGCUGAGGAGCGAAAGCGUGGGGAGCGAACAGGCUUAGAUACCCUGGUAGUCCACGCUGUAAACGGUGGGUACUAGGUGUGGGGUCCAUUCCACGGGUUCCGUGCCGUAGCUAACGCUUUAAGUACCCCGCCUGGGGAGUACGGCCGCAAGGCUAAAACUCAAAGGAAUUGGCGGGGCCCCGCACAAGCGGCGGAGCAUGCGGAUUAAUUCGAUGCAACGCGUAGAACCUUACCUGGGUUUGACAUGGAUCGGGAGUGCUCAGAGAUGGGUGUGCCUCUUUUGGGGUCGGUUCACAGGUGGUGCAUGGCUGUCGUCAGCUCGUGUCGUGAGAUGUUGGGUUAAGUCCCGCAACGAGCGCAACCCUUGUUCACUGUUGCCAGCACGUUAUGGUGGGGACUCAGUGGAGACCGCCGGGGUCAACUCGGAGGAAGGUGGGGAUGACGUCAAGUCAUCAUGCCCCUUAUGUCCAGGGCUUCACGCAUGCUACAAUGGCUGGUACAGAGAGUGGCGAGCCUGUGAGGGUGAGCGAAUCUCGGAAAGCCGGUCUCAGUUCGGAUUGGGGUCUGCAACUCGACCUCAUGAAGUCGGAGUCGCUAGUAAUCGCAGAUCAGCAACGCUGCGGUGAAUACGUUCCCGGGGCU
rnacentral:rRNA from 1 species